GCUAUUGGCUGAUAGCGGUAAAGCCCGCCCUACUACUUCCGUUAUGCUUCUUUAAGUAAAAUCCCCACGGGUUAUUCGGUCUUUUGGAGACGGCGAAACGGGAGAGAUCCAGCCCUGCCAAGGACGUCGGAUCUCAGAGUCUUAAGUGUAUUUUCAGCGCUUUCUCCCCACUUAUAAGCCCCCCCAAUAAAGUGAUUUGGCCCCCA